UGGGGAAUUUUGCACAAUGGGGGAAACCCUGAUGCAGCGACGCCGCGUGAUUUAGAAGGCCUUCGGGUUGUACAAAUCUUUUGUAUGGGAAGAAAAUGACAGUACCAUACGAAUAAGGACCGGCUAAUUACGUGCCAGCAGCCGCGGUAAUACGUAAGGUCCGAGCGUUGUCCGGAAUCAUUGGGCGUAAAGGGUACGUAGGCGGAUAAGCAAGUUAGAAGUGAAAUCCUAUAGCUCAACUAUAGUAAGCUUUUAAAACUGCUCAUCUUGAGGUAUGGAAGGGAAAGUGGAAUUCCUAGUGUAGCGGGGAAAUGCGCAGAUAUUAGGAGGAAUACCGGUGGCGAAGGCGACUUUCUGGCCAUAUACUGACGCUGCGGUACGAAAGAGUGGGUAGCAAACAGG
rnacentral:rRNA from 1 species